GCUUUUGGAGGGGGGUGCGUCCUAUCAGGUAGUUGGUGUGGUAAUAGCUCACCAAGCCUAUGACGGGUAGCCGGUCUGAGAGGAUGUCCGGCCGCAAUGGAACUGAGACACGGUCCAUACUCCUACGGGAGGCAGCAGUGGGGAAUCUUGCGCAAUGGGCGAAAGCCUGACGCAGCAAUCCCGCGUGAAGGAUGAAGCAUUAUGGUGUGUAAACUUCUUUUCUGGUGGAAGACGAAUGACGGUACACCAGGAAUAAGGGACGGCUAACUACGUGCCAGCAGCCGCGGUAAUACGUAGGUCCCAAGCGUUAUCCGGAAUUACUGGGCGUAAAGAGUCUGUAGCCGGGUUUGUAAGUCUGUUUUCAAAUCCUAUGGCUUAACCAUAGAGAGGGAAUGGAUACUGCAAACCUUGAGAUUAUUGGGGGUUGAUGGAAUUUCCGGUGGAGCGGUGAAAUGCGUUGAUAUCGGAAGGAACGCCAAAAGUGAAAGCAGUCAACUACAAUAAAUCUGACGGUCAGAGACGAAAGCUUGGGGAGCAAACGGGAUUAGAUACCCCGGUAGUCCAAGCCGUAAAUUAUGCAUGCUAGGUGUCUUGUUCACUUUAUGUGAGCGGGGUGCCGUAAUCUAACGAGUUAAGCAUGCCGCCUGGGUAGUAUAUUCGCAAGAAUGAAACUCAAAGGGAUAGGCGGGGGAACACACAAGCAGUGGAUUGUCUCGAUUAAUUGGAUAAUAAGCCAAGAAUCUUACCUAGACUUGACAUAUAUUGUGUCCUACGUGAAAGUGUAGUAAUCCCGAUUUUGUCGGGAUACGAUAUACAGGUGGUGCAUGGUCGUCGUCAGCUCGUGCCGCAAGAUGUCCAGUUAAGUCUGGGAACGAGCGCAACCCU
rnacentral:rRNA from 1 species